GUUCCAGACUCCUACGGGAGGCAGCAGUGGGGAAUAUUGGGCAAUGGGGGAAACCCUGACCCAGCAACGCCGCGUGAAGGAAGAAGGCUUUCGGGUUGUAAACUUCUUUUACCAGGGACGAAGAAAGUGACGGUACCUGGAGAAAAAGCUCCGGCUAACUACGUGCCAGCAGCCGCGGUAAUACGUAGGGAGCGAGCGUUGUCCGGAUUUACUGGGUUUAAAGGGUGCGUAGGCGGAAUGCCAAGUCAGCGGUAAAAUCGCGGGGCUCAACCUCGCUCCGCCGUUGAAACUGGCGUUCUUGAGUGGGCGAGAAGUAUGCGGAAUGCGUGGUGUAGCGGUGAAAUGCAUAGAUAUCACGCAGAACUCCGAUUGCGAAGGCGGCAUACCGGCGCCCAACUGACGCUGAAGCACGAAAGCGUGGGUAUCGCACAGGAUUAGAUACCCCCGUAC
rnacentral:rRNA from 1 species